AGUGACCUAUAUCUGCCCCAAACCACUCAGAUAAUGGAACUUAUAGAGUUAGUGAUGCUUUUCUUUCUUGGCACUGUCUGGGAACGUUCCCUGAUGAUCCGAGUCACUGACCUCUGACCUCUCUCUUCUUUAGGCAUUUACUUGGUUUUUGCCUUUGAGAAGCAGCAGUGAGCGCAGUGCUUCAGAGCAGCCCUCCAUCCUCCCAGGUGGAGCAGACCAUCCAGAGACAUUUGACAGCCGUUUGUUUAUUUUCAUAGAGAGAAGAAUUCCUCAAAGGGUGGAAUUAUUGAUGGCUAUCCCAAGCAGCAAGAAGAGAAAUGUGGAGUUCCUAGGCCCUUCCCUGAGGACUCAGAGAAAACUGGCCUUGGUCUGAGAUGGUCUCUAGUCAUUAUACCUACUGUCAAAGACAUAGGAGAGCUCCCAUGAUGUCACCCUACAGGAAACAGUCAAGCAGCUGCCUUUCUCCUUUUGUGUUGUUCCUAUCUGUUGAACCUCCACCCCUCUACCACUCCCCGCAGAAGUUUAAUGACUCAGGAUGAACUCUUGAGGACAAGAACGGGAAGGUGGCCUUUCCUGUUAUUUCUUUCAACAAAUAAGACUUUGCCCAACAUUCUUGGAACCUAAAUGUUUAAUUUUGUUAUGACUGUAGUCCCUGAUGAGAAGGUGUGACUUUCAUUGCAGCAUCCAGAAAGAGUCCCUUCUCUUGGGUUCAGUGAUGAAAAUGGUUCAAAUACACCCAGG
rnacentral:lncRNA from 1 species